rnacentral:rRNA from 1 species
AUGCUUGGUCACUCUUUAGACUACGGUGUUGAAGACACAGCUUUACCUCUUCAACCAUCUGUGAACUAUACUGUGCCAGAAUUGGUCCCUAGUGGUGAUUCUAAAUUAGGCUUUACCUGUGACAUAUUUAGUUUUGGAUGCUUGGCUUACCACUUAGUUUCUCAUAGACCACUUCUGGAUUGCCAUAAUAAUAUGAAAAUGGUAUCUCUUUUAAUCUGGCACAUGCUUUGUCAAAAUAUAAUGUAUUUAAUCUGGACUUCGCUCUACCUUUGA